ACAUAGUAGAUCGAUGUAUAUUCAUGUGUCAUCAAUAAUUCUUUACAUUUCCUUUGUAAAGGAACAGCAGAGAAACCGGAUAUUACGACCUUUGGAAACAUGAUUGUUGGACAGUGCGUGACAGUGCUAUGCACUGUUUUUCAUACCUGUCCCACUACAGCACCCACUCUGAGUCUUAACAUCCCACUGCAAGACGACAAAAUAACUCAUACCCGGAACAUAGAUGGCACAUCCAACACAUCCUUGACGACCACAUUAUGCAUUGAGAACGAACACCAAAAUGUUGAGUGCUCUGUCAAACACAGUGGUGGUCUCAGUGCAACAGCCUCUAAAACCUUAACUGCAGAAUGCACCAUUUCAUCCUUGACUAUCCAGUCUACAUCAGAUGAGUUUCUUGAGGGACAGGCACAAGAAGUAACCUGCACUGCCUUGUACACAUGCCCAAAACAUUUACCAACUCUCACAUGGAACUAUGGUAGCAUGCAAGCUAUCACUGAAUCUGGCAAGAUUGGACAUGCUCAGUGGAGGACUGUCUCUACACUGACAUUCAAAGCAACAGCCAAUGAUCAUGGAAAACCUCUGACAUGCUUUGCACUAUUCACCGGGGCUCACAGGCAGAAAGUGAACAUUACCAUAGGGGUAAAGAGUCCUUAGAAAUAAUGAGAUUCUUUAUUUAACAACUUAACCUUUUUGUCUUAAAGCCUGUAUAGCUUUUCACAGACAUUACCAACACAUUCUGCAACAUAACUGAAAUGUAUUUUGAUAAAAUGUCAUUUACUCGUCACAUUUAGCCAAUUAUGUUAGUGCUGCAGUUUCUUCUUUAAGUUUGUCUUUUUCUAUGUUCUUUAAAUGAACAAAUAAAAUGAAAAAAUAUAAUAAUAAUUCCACAACAGGCUUGUUUAAAACAAGACAAUUGCAAGAAAGAUUUUAAAAAAUAUAUAUCUAUAUCUUAUAUCAGUUACACAAAUAAUGUUUAAUUUUUAAUACUUUUUUCAGUUGUUUUACCUUGUGAAAUACUGGAUCCUUCUCAGUGCCUCUAAAGCAUUCAUACCAAACAAUCUGAGAAAAACUCUUUUGAUAAACUGAGUGUAACUCUAAAUUAAAGAAGCUCUGAUCAGUAUUUUUAAAUUAAGAAUGGAUGAAAUGACUGUGUGAAGUGGAUAGUGUCGGGCAUAGUGACAGUGAAUUAUCAACCAACUCUGCAGUUCCCCUCAGGUCCGUGGGGCUUUUUUAGCUUCUUUAAGCUCAUUAUUUGAAUUUUGUAGCCAACAAUUCUAAUUCAUUACUUUUGACAGACACAGUUAGCGACUAGCUGGUGAAUAUAAUGGAGCAGCUAGAGAGCCAAUUAUUUCCCUGAGUUUGUAGAGACCAAAAACUACAACUGAGCUAAAAGGAGCGUGAAUUUUUGACUUACUUUCAUCAGGUGGACAUAAACACAACAAAUGAAUGCUGAUGAUUCCCUUGUAUCUGCUGAAUGUGUUAAUCAACUGUUGCGUUGGAGAUGACUGCGGCUGACUUUUGCCAAAUUCAUAGUCAAACUGCAGGGGUGGGGUUUCAAAACACUGCUGUCAAGUCGGACACAUUCUACCUCCUGUAAAGUGUUUGAGCUUAGUCUGAGCUUAAUAGAAGAAUUAAAACUAAAAACUAAAAGUCUAAAACUAAAAGUCUAAAUCAGAAAUGCAUUUAGCCAUUUAGGAUUGGGCAUUUGACCCCAAGGAGGUAGUUAGGGAUGUUAAGUGGUGAAAUUUCUUUAUGAUGAAGAGUUCCUCCCAAUUUCUCCUAUUAUCUUGCACUUAAGACUUUAAUCUGUGUUUUAUAUUAACCUGCCUAAUUAAGCUUUUUCAUUAUCUUUUUUGAUCGCUAGGAAUUAUGUUUGAUAAGCCUAAUUAUAUGUAGAACUGUUUUGUUUAAGAAUAUUUUAGUUAAUGAAAUAUGUUCCCUUAUUUACAUGUGUAUUGUCUAGAAAGCCUCAGAAUGUUUAACUGUUAUAAUUGGUGUGUUUGAUUAGCAUGAAAGGAGACAUCAGCCAAACUUGCGCCUGAGAACACACAGUUCUUGAGAUCUCUUUAAUUCUCCAUUUUUUUUGUUUUUCGUUUACAGUUUUCCUGGCCUUUUAUUGUGUGUGUUUUGAGUAUUUUAUUUUGAAAUGUUUUUGUAUUCCUGCUGUCGCGUCUGCUACCGAUCCAGUAGAAAGAGCUGACAUCAGACAUCCAUCUUUGAUUCAUGGACUGCUAACGAAACUGUUAAGAGACAGUUUGUAAUGACUUUUAGCAGCCGUUUGCUGUGAGUGUGUACCCUUGGAACAAUCCACAGUCAAAAUGAGCUGUGAAUCGUACAUUAAAUUCUAAUCUCCUUUAUAUAUUUACCCAUAA